AACGGGUGAGUAUAAUGUGGGUAUCUGCCUUUUGGUUUGGAAUAACACGAGGAAACUUGUGCUAAUACCGGAUAAGCCUUCACAGGGAAAGUUUUAACGCCGAAAGAUGAGCCCGCACUUGAUUAGUUUGUUGGUGAGGUAAUGGCUCACCAAGACAAUUAUCAAUAGCUGGUCUGAGAGGACGAUCAGCCACAUUGGGACUGAGACACGGCCCAGACUCCUACGGGAGGCAGCAGUAAGGAAUCUUGCACAAUGGGGGAAACCCUGAUGCAGCGAUGCCGCGUGAGUGAAGAAGGCCCUUGGGUUGUAAAACUCUUUCGUCGGGGAAGAAAAUGACUGUACCCGAAUAAGAAGGUCCGGCUAACUUCGUGCCAGCAGCCGCGGUAAUACGAAGGGACCUAGCGUAGUUCGGAAUUACUGGGCUUAAAGAGUUCGUAGGUGGUUGAAAAAGUUGGUGGUGAAAUCCCAGAGCUUAACUCUGGAACUGCCAUCAAAACUUUUCAGCUAGAGUAUGAUAGAGGAAAGCAGAAUUUCUAGUGUAGAGGUGAAAUUCGUAGAUAUUAGAAAGAAUACCAAUUGCGAAGGCAGCUUUCUGGAUCAUUACUGACACUGAGGAACGAAAGCAUGGGUAGCGAAGAGGAUUAGAUACCCUCGUAGUCCAUGCCGUAAACGAUGUGUGUUAGACGUUGGA
rnacentral:rRNA from 1 species